GGGGGUGCAAUGGUCUCGACGGGGAUUCUGAGGCACGAUAAGCGUGGCGGGCUGAGUAAUCCCGUAAACUGCUCAACUUUAAAAAAUAAACGACAACAACACUGUUGCUAUGGCUGCCUAAUUGACAUCCCUUCGGGGAUGCCAAUUGGCGGUGCUGUGACCUGCGGGUCACCCGUUCCUCCUCGGAGUACCGCGACCGAGGACUGAGCGUCAAAUGAGCGGUGAACUUGCAUCGGUGGUUCGCUCUUGAGCCGAUCAAGCAAAAAAGGGCUACUCUGACGCGGAGCGUGUUUGUUCGCGCCGCAGACGGGGAAUUCUAAACAACAAACUGCCCACGGAGAAGGUCGUGUCAAGGGGUUUUCGGACAUGGGUUCGAUUCCCAUCAUCUCCACCA
rnacentral:tmRNA from 1 species